GACGAACGUUGGCGGCGUGCUUAAUACAUGCAAGUCAACUGAAGCACCGGUAGUAAUACUGGUGUGGAGGUGGCGCACGGGUGAGUAACACGUAGGUAAUCUGCCUUCAGGUCUGACAUAACCCCGAGAAAUCGGGGCUAAUAGCAGAUGAUGCAGCGGCUUGACAUCAAGACAGUUGUUAAAGCUUCGGCGCCUGAAGAUGAGCCUGCGUCUGAUUAGCUAGUUGGCGGAGUAAUGGCCCACCAAGGCUACGAUCAGUAACUGGUCUGAGAGGAUGAUCAGUCACACUGGAACUGAGACACGGUCCAGACUCCUACGGGAGGCAGCAGUAAGGAAUAUUGCUCAAUAGGGAGGAAAUACCUGAAGCAGCAACGACCGCCGUGAGGGAGUGAAGGG
rnacentral:rRNA from 1 species